GCAUAUCAAUAAGCGGAGGAAAAGAAACCAACAGGGAUUGCCCUAGUAACGGCGAGUGAAGCGGCAACAGCUCAAAUUUGAAAUCUGGCUCUUUCAGAGUCCGAGUUGUAAUUUGCAGAGGGCGCUUUGGUGUCGGCAGCGGUCCAAGUUCCUUGGAACAGGACGUCACAGAGGGUGAGAAUCCCGUACGUGGUCGCUAGCCUUCGCCGUGUAAAGCCCCUUCGACGAGUCGAGUUGUUUGGGAAUGCAGCUCUAAAUGGGAGGUAAAUUUCUUCUAAAGCUAAAUACUGGCCAGAGACCGAUAGCGCACAAGUAGAGUGAUCGAAAGAUGAAAAGCACUUUGGAAAGAGAGUCAAAUAGCACGUGAAAUUGUUGAAAGGGAAGCGCUUGCAGCCAGACUUGCCUGUAGUUGCUUAUCCGGACUUUUGUCCGGUGCACUCUUCUGCGGGCAGGCCAGCAUCAGUUUGGGCGGUUGGAUAAAGGUCUCUGUCAUGUACCUCUCUUCGGGGAGAACUUAUAGGGGAGACGACAUGCAACCAGCCUGGACUGAGGUCCGCGCAUCUGCUAGGAUG
rnacentral:rRNA from 1 species